rnacentral:lncRNA from 13 species
AUGGCCGGCUUUCCCCCCAACACCUCUCCCUGUUGCCCAGGAGCUGUCACCUGUGUCUCCAGGGUCAGCGGGGAUGCAGACUCUUGGCCGGCCUUGCUGUCUCACCGACCACCAUGUUGGCACAGGAGCCAGGGCUGGCACUCGAUGAAUAAACGCCUUUCAGGAGAAGGAACGCAGGAGGCUGGGCGCAGUCACCAAGGCAGAUGGGCAGAGGCGGAGGGAGGCUGGGCAGGGGACAGGGUGGUCGGGCCACAGCGUGCCCCAGGGGACCUGGCUGGUGAAGAAAAACGAAGCGUGCCUAUACUCUGCCUCGAGAUGUUGGCCAGACUCCAUCCGUGCCAAGUCCCCUCGGAGCCAGCGCCGGGGACUCCGGAGGCACCAGGAGGAGGAAGCCUGGCUCAGCGCCUCGGAGCCUGAGUGGAAGGACGGGACAGACGCCAAAUGUGCGGUAGCAGGAGUGUAGGUGGCAGUGCCCCGAGCCCGGCUGCUGAGAGCGGGAAGGAGCCUGGGGUGAGGGACCCCCAGCAGCUCCAAGGCAAAGUCCUUCUGCCCUUCCCACAAUCACAGGCCGGGAGAAAGAGCUGGGGGCCGUGGGAGGGGGGAUUUUCACCUUCAGAAAGGUGGGCAGCCCCCAGGUGGGCUGGCGUGGAGCUGGCAGGGCUGGGAGUGUUAGCCGGGUGUCUGGCUGUGGCCCCUCAGCGUGAUCCAUAGCAAGCAGGAUGGCAGACGCUGCCAGCUGCAUCAGCUGGCAGAGGCUGGCACCAGACCCACGCCCUGGCAGGGGAACGGCACAGAGGGGCCCUGGCCACAUGGGGGGAUCCGUGCUGGCUGCCAUCCCAGUCAUUGCUCUGGGCAGCCAGUCCAGUCCCAGAAAG